rnacentral:rRNA from 1 species
GCCUAACACAUGCAAGUCGAACGGACUCUUCGGAGUUAGUGGCGCACGGGUGAGUAACACGUGGAUAACCUGCCCUAGAGUCUGGGAUAACACUUCGAAAGGGGUGCUAAUACCGGAUAAGCCCACACUUUCUUCGGAGGGAGUGGGAAAAGAUUUAUUGCUCUAGGAUGGGUCCGCGGUCCAUUAGCUAGUUGGUGGGGUAAUGGCCUACCAAGGCUGCGAUGGAUAGCUGGUCUGAGAGGAUGAUC